CAGUCGCCGCGGGAAUACGAAGGGUGCAAGCGUUAAUCGGAAUUACUGGGCGUAAAGCGUGCGUAGGCGGUGAGUUAAGUCUGCUGUGAAAUCCCCGGGCUCAACCUGGGAAUGGCAGUGGAUACUGGCUCGCUAGAGUGUGUCAGAGGAUGGUGGAAUUCCCGGUGUAGCGGUGAAAUGCGUAGAGAUCGGGAGGAACAUCAGUGGCGAAGGCGGCCAUCUGGGACAACACUGACGCUGAGGCACGAAAGCGUGGGGAGCAAACAGGAUUAGAUACCCCCGUAGUCCCUGUCUCUUAUAC
rnacentral:rRNA from 1 species